ACGGGUUUCCAAUACAAGCAUCGGGGCCAACCCAGCCUGGUAAAGUUCUUCCCAUUCUGGUACAUGUAGUGGAAUGUUGCACAGCAAUCUGUCCAGCUCUUUGUAUACGGUCAUAAAAGAUAGCUUGGAUGCCCACGUAUGCGCUGCAAGCACCUCCGCUUGGGCAAGCUCUUCGUCGUCUGGUACGUGCACUGCAAUAUAGCAGAUGAGAACCAACGCAUGUAAAACUUUCUUGUCAUACAAAAUCUGGAUUAAGUGUUUAACACCUCCAGCACUUAUUAUUGCCUUGGAAUGUUCAAUGUGAAAAUAGUUAUCUGUCCGAGCUAAUUUUGUGAGGGCAAUGCAAGCCCCCUCGGUAACAUAAUAUUCUCUUCCAUGCAGAAGCUGCACCAGUGGGCCAAUCAUUCUUGUCUCUAUUGACCCAAAUGUCCUU
rnacentral:lncRNA from 1 species